GACGAACGCUGGCGGCGUGCUUAACACAUGCAAGUCGAACGGAAAGGCCCUGCUUUUGUGGGGUGCUCGAGUGGCGAACGGGUGAGUAACACGUGAGUAACCUGCCCUUGACUUUGGGAUAACUUCAGGAAACUGGGGCUAAUACCGGAUAGGAGCUCCUGCUGCAUGGUGGGGGUUGGAAAGUUUCGGCGGUUGGGGAUGGACUCGCGGCUUAUCAGCUUGUUGGUGGGGUUGUGGCUUACCAAGGCUUUGACGGGUAGCCGGCCUGAGAGGGUGACCGGCCACAUUGGGACUGAGAUACGGCCCAGACUCCUACGGGAGGCAGCAGUGGGGAAUAUUGCACAAUGGGCGGAAGCCUGAUGCAGCAACGCCGCGUGCGGGAUGACGGCCUUCGGGUUGUAAACCGCUUUCGCCUGUGACGAAGCGUGAGUGACGGUAAUGGGUAAAGAAGCACCGGCUAACUACGUG
rnacentral:rRNA from 1 species